rnacentral:rRNA from 1 species
UCUCCGGAUAGCUUGCUAACUGGAGUGAAAGUGGCGGACGGGUGCGUAACACGUGAGCAACCUGCCCUGAAGCGGGGGAUAGCUCUCCGAAAGGAGGAUUAAUACCGCAUGUGGUCUUCGGAUCAAAGGUGGCUUCGGCUGCCGCUUCGGGAUGGGCUCGCGGCCUAUCAGCUUGUUGGUGAGGUAACGGCUCACCAAGGCGAUGACGGGUAGCUGGUCUGAGAGGACGAUCAGCCUCACUGGAACUGAGACACGGUCCAGACACCUACGGGUGGCAGCAGUCGAGAAUCAUUCACAAUGGGCGCAAGCCUGAUGGUGCAACGCCGCGUGGAGGAUGACGGCCUUCGGGUUGUAAACUCCUGUCAUCUGGGAGUAAUCCUUGUUCGUUAAUAGCGGACAAGGUUGAUAGUACCAGAAGAGGAAGCGCCGGCUAACUCCGUGCCAGCAGCCGCGGUAAUACGGAGGGCGCAAGCGUUGUUCGGAAUCACUGGGCGUAAAGCGUGCGUAGGCGGCGCGGUAAGUCGGAUGUGAAAUCUCUGGGCUCAACCCGGAAACUGCAUCCGAUACUGCCGUGCUGGAGUAAUGGAGGGGUAGCUGGAAUUCUCGGUGUAGCAGUGAAAUGCGUAGAUAUCGAGAGGAACACUAGUGGCGAAGGCGAGCUACUGG